rnacentral:rRNA from 1 species
GUUUAAGGCCAUGCCACCCUGAACAAACCCAAUCCUGUCUGAUCUCAGAAGCUAAGCAGGGUCGAGUCUGGUUAGUACUUGGAUGGGAGACUGCCUAGGAAGUUCAGGUCAUUUAGGCA